rnacentral:rRNA from 1 species
AUACGUAGGUGGCGAGCGUUGUCCGGAAUUACUGGGCGUAAAGGGUGCGUAGGCGGAUACUUAAGUCAGAUGUGAAACUCCGGGGCUUAACUUCGGGACUGCAUUUGAAACUGGGUAUCUAGAGUGCAGGAGAGGGAAGCGGAAUUCCUAGUGUAGCGGUGAAAUGCGUAGAUAUUAGGAAGAACACCAGUGGCGAAGGCGGCUUUCUGGACUGUAGCUGACGCUGAGGCACGAAAGCGUGGGGAGCGAACAGGAUUAGAUACCCUGGUAGUCCACGCCGUAAACGAUGAGUGCUAGGUGUAGGGGGCGAAUGCCUUCUGUGCCGCAGUAAACGCAAUAAGCACUCCGCCUGGGGAGUACGGUCGCAAGACUAAA